UCCUUAGGUCGCUGGUUCGAUUCCG
rnacentral:piRNA from 3 species